AAAGGUGUGAAAAAAAGAUUGAUGUUCUUGAGCUGCGAUGAAAGUACAGAAGGUGUAAUGAUGAAAGCCAAUGAAAAGGCAGCCGAGGCUACUCAAAAAGUAACUUUCUGCUCUUUGUCAAGUUCAAAUGACGACCAUGCGUCUUCCCUUUUCGGCCAGGAGAGUGCACCAAUGAUUGCCCUUCAGAAGAACUUAUUCGAUUUGAACAGCCAAUCCGAUGCAGCUAAGAAUCAACAGCUGCAGCAAAAAGGGCCUGAAAUCAACGAAGGUGACAUGAGUAGGCUGGAAAUCAACUCGAACAGUUCGAACGACGAAGGGGCGAACCCAUUUCUAAACCGAGUGCUGAAAGAACUGAAAACGAGUGUGAAGUACGACGAGUUCACUGCAAGCAAAAAUGCCAGAAAUCUAGAUAAAGACACGACAAUCUGGGUGUCGAAAAAGCAUCAAAAACUUAGCAUGGAGCCGAUAUACGAAGACUUGCUGAAGUUUGUUCCUGUCUUUCUGCACCCAAAUCACGCCAUCAGAAGUGAACAACUUUUCGCUCCUGAAGUUGUUAAAUUACACGAGAAUUCACAGGAUGAAAAAGGUGAAAAUAGCGAAAAGUUUUCCGAAAAUCGUGAAGUUUCGAUAAAUAAAGAACACGUUUUUGACGCGAAGUUAUUGAAAGUUGAGUUUAGAACGCCACAUUGGUUCUAUUUUGAUAUCUUGAAGCAUACAUACAAUCAUAAAAUGGCUGAAAAAGAAUGGAAAAUUUAUUCUUGGAUAUACAGUAAAUGGAGGCUCGGUUUGAACGAUUCGUAUGUGUGGGAUUUAAAAGAAAUUGACGAUACUUGGAACAUUGUUGCAUACAUGACUGAAGCUAUAAUUAUUCGUGAAUUCUUAUCCCACGAAUCGGUGAAAACUGCGAAAUUGAAAAAAUCGUCAGUUUUAGUGAAAGAACACAAAUAUGUUUACGAAGAUGUCGAUUUUUUGGUCUCAUUUGUUCACGAAAACCCAGAAAAAUUUGGAAAAAGUUACUUCAUGUGGUGUUUUCGUGUGACGUUUUUAAAUGGCUUAAUUUUACUCCUUACAAACGUGAAUUUAGAAGCGCUCAAGUUCGUAAAGUUUGCUUCGUUAAAUUUCGAAAGUGUAAGUUAUUCGAAAAAAAUUUCAGCUAUUCGGUACACGUACGGCAAUCGUGAACUUAAAGUAAAUCGAAGCUAUUUUGAAAAUCUUUGUGUCCAGGUUCGAAUCCGGGUUGGAACCCCAUCAACUGAAAACAGUUCUACAAUUUCUCAAAACUCCGAAAGUGAAAAUGAAUCUCGCAAACAGUCAAAUUACGCUCUAGUAAUUGAAAAUUUGGAACCGGUUUUAAAUAAUUUGACAGAAGCGAAAAAAGAUAUUUCGAGUUUAAUCAGUAAUUUGAGGAAACUGAAAUCCAACUUGGCGAACUUUUGGAAGUCAAGUUCAAUUAUGAUUGCUGAGAUAUCUCUUAAGUUUUCGAUUAUUCAACUGAAAACUGACAUUGCUACUAUUGAAAUUUAUCUGGGAAGUUACGUGUUAACAAAAGGCAAAGAUUUCAAUACUGAAGACAUUUGGCACCAUCUGGAAAAUAUGCUCAAUUUUUCAAACUAUUUGCUCGAAUUGUCAACUGAAUAUAAAAUGCGACUUGUUCAUUGUAUGUUGACGAUCUUACAUAUUACGAUUAACCGAGCGAAGUGUUUACCAAUUGAUGGUUUGAAUGUAAUGGUUAAUACAGAUGAACUCGAGAAGUUAAAACCUCUGAUUAUCAAAACUGCAACACCUUGGAUUAUAUUAGCGAAAUUAAUCGAAAAAGAAGAACUUAAUUCGAAAGAUAACGCAGCAAUGUUUAACCACUUGUCGCCCGAGUCGAAAGAAGAAAGUCAGUUGCCUAUGUUUAUUAAAUUCCUAAUGGAAGGUCACGAGUAUUCAAAAGAAGGUUUGGGAUUUUGUAACUUCUCCGAUGGUCUUCUAAUGCACAGAAUUAUUGAAGCUUUAACUGAGAUCCUAAACGACCAAAGUUUAACUAUUGCGCCACACUAUCGGAGAGUUUAUGAAGAAGAAUUAGACCAGUGUUAUUAUUGUCUGUACCAACUUAAGAGAGCAAAAGCAAAAACUGAAAGUCACUGUCAAAAUACAAGUGUCUUACAACUUUGUCACGUUGACAGGGUUUUCAGGCAUUUUUUGCCCCCAGAAAAACCAAGUUUCGACAACAAAAAACCGAAAUUGACCAAUGAUGAAGCUACAAUGAUGAAAAGAAUUUUCGAAAUUUGUUGGACAGAUUUUGAGAAUGACUCAAAAAUGAUUGUUUCCAAAUUUGACCAGGCUAUCGAAGAAUGUCUUAAAUCGGAAAAAUUUGAAGAUCUGGAUGUAAUUUUUUCUACCGUUCCUCAAAAGAAACUCUUGGAAGAUAAAUUGAAACCAUGUGUUAUUGAAAUGUUGCACUAUUUAGCCGAUUAUUUCAAACAUGGGCUAGAAACCGAAAAUGCGAUGAAAUUCACGAUAUUGACCCUGUUUUUCAACCCUGGAAAUUUAGACAGUUGGGUUGUUUUGAGUCUUUGCAAAAAAUGGUUGAUUGAGUCUCAGUUUUUAGACAUCGAAAUUUUUCCUACAAUUGAAGAUGUUCUCAAAGUUUCUAAAAUCGGGUUUCUUUGCUUCAGAAAAGCGAUUUCGAUUCAAAAGGAGAAAAUAGUAAUUUCGACCCUUUAUAUUGAGCUGGGCUUACUGUAUUACCAACUAUGUAGCUUCAUUCGUCGAAGCAAAGAUUUCCAGGAAAAUCAAAAUUGUUACUCAAUUACAAGUUCGACUGAAGAGUUUUACAAAGACUGUUUCCAAUGUUUUACUGAAGCGUUAAAAAUUUGUAAUUUCGAAGAUAAAUGGCUUUGUCAUUACAUGUUUGGAAAAAUUACUCAGAAGUUGAACCCUCCCAAUCCGUCAAUUAAAAUUUGCAAAGAAGUUUUGGAGCAUUACUUGAAAUCGAUUCAGUUACUCGAAAAAAUGGGAGCGAAAUUGCCGAGAAAAAUAACAACUCUAACACCACAACAAUUUUCAGUCGAGAUUUUGGAACUGAUUUACCGACUUUUCGCCUCUGCGAUCAAAAUGAUUGAUCAAAAUAACUUUUUAGCUAUUCACGAAUUUCUAAGAAUUGUGAUGACUCAUCCUUUUAUGGAUAAACAUUUGAUGAAAGAUGAUGAACAACAAUUUGAUCAGGCUCAGAGUUCAAAAAUUGGGCUGAAAACUAAUCCGAAAGGUCCAAAUUCGAAUCCGAGUCAUAACCAAAUUGUAAGCGUUAGCUCCGAUAGUUCCGACGAACGUUCCCGAAUGGAAAAAUUAAACGAAAUCCGAACUGAAAUUCUAAACUGGUGCUCGGAAGUUUUCGUUGCAUGUGCUCGGCGCUACGCUCGUCACGCCAAAAGCUUAUACAGAUUAUGCGAUAUUCACAAAACAAAAUUACGAAAUGUCGAAACAGCUCUGAAAUUUCUUUACAACCCUGAGUCGAGUAUUACAGGAGGCUCAAUGAAUGUUUUGCAACCUUUAUUAACUUAUGUUAAUGCACACGGAAUCGUAACAUUCUCGACAAUUUAUCGACCAAAUUGCCACGAAGUUGAUAGAUGCGGAAGUUAUUACAACUUAAUCGGCAAAGCAGUUUUAGCAGCUGUAGAUAUUUUAGUGCAGGUCGGAGCAUUGGACGAGCUCACAGUUUUUGCUAGAAGUUUGGCCAAAUCGGGUGACAAAUACUACAUGCAUGAGCCUAUUCGAUCCAAAAUUUACCAGAAAAGCGUCAUUGCUUUUAUGGAAGUUGCUCAACGCGAUAUACAAAACAUGCCGAAAAAAAUUGACGAUUUGGGCGGCGCUCAGCAAAACGAUGCAAAAUUAGGGUUCAAAAUGCUGGCAGCUUCCGUUCAUAAGUUUUUGACCUUGAAAUUACCUUACUGCACAGAAGAUUACGUAAUACACCGGAAGUUGAAGAAGGUUUUGAUGGAUUGUUACGUAAGAAGCAGUGGCGAUUUAGACUACGAAUCGACUAAUUCACUAUCGGAUGACGUAAUGCUAGUUAAUGAAGGUAAUUUAGUCGAAACGAGCGCUAAGACGAAAUCGAAGCAGUCCGAACUAGUCGAAAGUAUGUGUCAAAAAUACGCAGAGUUAUGCUUGCUAGGAAUUUCGGCUAAGUUUGCGGUUUCGGCUACUGGAAAGUCCGGUCAGCAAAAUUCGAGAUUUUCUUACCGAGCACGGUGUUGUGGUAUGAGUGAAAUGCCCAUGCAAAUAGCGCAAGAUGUCCAAAUGCAAAUUAAGUCGAAAAAAUUGCAAAUCAACAAGAAAAAGAAACUAACUGUGGCGGAAAAGAAGUACGCGGGUAUGGUUACAAGCAGAAGUAAUAUGCCCAAAGGCUUUCGAUCCUCAAUGAUGAACCAAAAAUGAGAGAAAAAAAUCAAAAAGUCGGUCUCAAAAUUUUUCUCCAUGAUUUCAAUCUCAAACGUUUUCUGCUAUUUUUUUGCUCAGCUUAAUUUAUUCUCGCAGAUUCGGCCCCUUCAUUAUGAAUUUUUUGUGCGUUUCAAGGUUUAUUCUUUAGUGGUUGUUGUAGCCUCGAAUAGCUCCAUAGAUACAGAACUUGUUUGCUUUUUCAAGGUUCCUACUAUUAAAUGCAUUCAUUUUUAGUGUUGGCUUAAUGUUGAACUCCGUGUUUACAUGGAAAUUGAGCUUAGAUUUAAUUGUUUUG